GCCGGGAUGGCGGAACAGGUAGACGCAGCGGACUUAAAAUCCGCCGGGAUAAUAUCCCGUGCCGGUUCGAUUCCGGCUCUCGGCA
rnacentral:tRNA from 1 species